rnacentral:rRNA from 1 species
UACGGAGGGAGCUAGCGUUGUUCGGAAUUACUGGGCGUAAAGCGCACGUAGGCGGCUUUGUAAGUUAGAGGUGAAAGCCCGGGGCUCAACUCCGGAACUGCCUUUAAGACUGCAUCGCUUGAAUCCGGGAGAGGUGAGUGGAAUUCCGAGUGAUUAGAGGUAGAAAUUCGUAGAUAUUCGGAAGAACACCAGUGGCGAAGGCGACUCACUGGACACAUAUUGACGCUGAGGUGCGAAAGCGUGGGGGAGCAAACAGG